CCUACGGGUGGCAGCAGUGAGGAAUAUUGGUCAAUGGCCGCAGGGCUGAACCAGCCAAGUAGCGUGAGGGAUGACUGUCCUAUGGAUUGUAAACCUCUUUUAUCAGGGAAUAAAGGGCUCCACGUGUGGCGUUUUGUGAGUACCAUAAGAAAAAGCAUCGGCUAACUCCGUGCCAGCAGCCGCGGUAAUACGGAGGAUGCGAGCGUUAUCCGGAUUUAUUGGGUUUAAAGGGUGCGUAGGUGGAUUGUUAAGUCAGUGGUCAAAUUUUGGGGGUCAACCCCUACCUGCAAUUGAAACUGGCGGUCUUGAGUAGAAGAGAAGUAUGCGGAAUGCGUGGUGUAGCGGUGAAAUGCAUAGAUAUCACGCAGAACCCCGAUUGCGAAGGCAGCAUGCCGGCUUCCGACUGACGCUGAAGCACGAAAGCGUGGGGAUCGAACAGGAUUAGAUACCCCGGUAGUC
rnacentral:rRNA from 1 species